CAAAGUGUUAGCUUUCCUCACGCCGCUCACAUUUCAUUGCUCUCACAGUGGAAUGAUCCAGAGGUAUUGGUCAGAAGGAGAAAUAUCACGUAUUAUUUCUCAAUGAUUUUCUUCACUGGCGUUUCGGUUAAAAGCAAUGCUGCUGCAGGGCGACAGGUCAAUCAUGGUCAAUUUCCCUGCUUGGCCCAGUGCCACAUUGAGACAAGCAAUGCAAGCUGGGUGAAAACAAACCUGUGUCUCUGCUGUUAAAACAAAGUCUUCCGGAAUUGAAAUCACACUAUUGUACAAUUAACUGGAACAAGGCCUGUCGUUGUUCCUGGACGUAGGAGUCUCCGGGCAGGCUUCCCUUAACAUCCUGCUUUCUACAGCUCUGCUCCUCCUGGGUGGCAACAAGCAGCUUUUCAUAUUGAAUCAAGUGUUGUCGGGCUAACACAGACCAGAUCCACACAGGUGCCGCAGACUGACAGAGGACACCACACCGAUGGAACAAAAAUGUUACACAGGUUGUUGCAUUAGAGAGCCUCUGUGAAAAAUAAAGCAGA